AUUGAACGCUGGCGGCAGGCCUAACACAUGCAAGUCGAGCGGAUGAGAGGAGCUUGCUUCUCGAUUCAGCGGCGGACGGGUGAGUAAUGCCUAGGAAUCUGCCUGGUAGUGGGGGACAACGUUUCGAAAGGAACGCUAAUACCGCAUACGUCCUACGGGAGAAAGCAGGGGACCUUCGGGCCUUGCGCUAUCAGAUGAGCCUAGGUCGGAUUAGCUAGUUAGUGAGGUAAUGGCUCACCAAGGCGACGAUCCGUAACUGGUCUGAGAGGAUGAUCAGUCACACUGGAACUGAGACACGGUCCAGACUCCUACGGGAGGCAGCAGUGGGGAAUAUUGGACAAUGGGCGAAAGCCUGAUCCAGCCAUGCCGCGUGUGUGAAGAAGGUCUUCGGAUUGUAAAGCACUUUAAGUUGGGAGGAAGGGUUGUAGAUUAAUACUCUGCAAUUUUGACGUUACCGACAGAAUAAGCACCGGCUAACUCUGUGCCAGCAGCCGCCGUAA
rnacentral:rRNA from 1 species